GGAUGUGAGGGCGAUCUAGUUGCGACAUCUGUCACCCCAUUGAUCGCCAGGGUUGAUUCGGCUGAUCUGGCUGGCUAGGCGGGUGUCCCCUUCCUCCCUCACCGCUCCAUGUGCGUCCCUCCCGAAGCUGCGCACUCGGUGGAAGAGGACGACCAUCCCAGAUAGAAGGAGUGUACCGUUCUUCGGUCAAGGGUAUACGAUAGCUGCGCUCCCCUGCUAGAACCUCCAAACAAGCUCACAAUGAUCUUGGGCCAGCACCGCAACUGAGAGCAAAGGCCAUGCUUCCUGUAUUAGUCACAUGGGGACUGCCACUCAAU